rnacentral:rRNA from 1 species
AUUGAACGCUGGCGGCAUGCUUUACACAUGCAAGUCGAACGGCAGCACGGGUGCUUGCACCUGGUGGCGAGUGGCGGACGGGUGAGUAAUACAUCGGAACGUGUCCAGAAGAGGGGGAUAACGCAUCGAAAGAUGUGCUAAUACCGCAUAUACUCUAAGGAGGAAAGCAGGGGAGUCGAAAGACCUUGCGUUUUUGGUAGCGGCCGAUGUCUGAUUAGCUAGUUGGUGGGGUAAGGGCCUACCAAGGCGACGAUCAGUAGUUGGUCUGAGAGGACGACCAGCCACACUGGGACUGAGACACGGCCCAGACUCCUACGGGAGGCAGCAGUGGGGAAUUUUGGACAAUGGGCGCAAGCCUGAUCCAGCAAUGCCGCGUGAGUGAAGAAGGCCUUCGGUUGUAAGGACUCUUCUAGUCGAGAAGAAAAGGACUGCAGUGAAUAAACUGUAGUUUAUGACGGUAUCGACAGAAGAAG